rnacentral:rRNA from 1 species
UAGGGAAUCUUCGGCAAUGGGGGGAACCCUGACCGAGCAACGCCGCGUGAGUGAAGAAGGUUUUCGGAUCGUAAAGCUCUGUUGUUAAGGAAGAACGAGUGUGAGAAUGGAAAGUUCAUGCUGUGACGGUACUUAACCAGAAAGGGACGGCUAACUACGUGCCAGCAGCCGCGGUAAUACGUAGGUCCCGAGCGUUGUCCGGAUUUAUUGGGCGUAAAGCGAGCGCAGGCGGUUAGAAAAGUCUGAAGUGAAAGGCAGUGGCUCAACCAUUGUAGGCUUUGGAAACUGUUUAACUUGAGUGCAGAAGGGGAGAGUGGAAUUCCAUGUGUAGCGGUGAAAUGCGUAGAUAUAUGGAGGAACACCAGUGGCGAAGGCGACUCGCUGGUCUGUAACUGACGCUGAGGCUCGAAAGCGUGGGUAGCAAACAGG